rnacentral:lncRNA from 1 species
GAAAGCACUGGGAAGGGAGACCAUGGAGGCAGGCAUCAUGGAGGGUGGAAAGAAUGGGUAAGAUAAUUCCAGGAAAAACUAAAAAUAGCUCAUUAGCCUUAUGCCAAAGGUAUAUGAAGUCAUUUACUUUUUAUAAGGUUCAUCCAGCUGAAUAAAGUGAUUUCAUUUUUGAAUGUUCCUGUGAUUAUAACUAAAAGGUGACUCAUCCAAUCUGAUGGCUCAUAAUUCCUCUUGAGACUAAACAUUCAGAAUCAGCAUGAACAAAAAAUUAAUGAAGACACACAAAGGGUGGUUCUGAUGAUGGUUUGAUCCUUGCAAAGUUAAACAAACACCGGUUGUGCUCCCUGUCUUUAUCUAUUACAUGUAUCUGUGACAAUAUAAUUUCUUGACCACAUUUAUUUAUCAUGAGUUAUUGAAGCCUGGGAGAAGCCUGGGCUCCUUCAAGGGGAAGAAAGAUGGGCCUGACCAUCCUAUGGUGGGUGAUAACAAUAAAGUGCUCAGGGAUGUUUGUGAGAAACACAGAGAAAUACUGAUAAGUUUGGCUGUGUCCCCACCCAAAUCUCAUCUUGAAUUGUAGCUCCCAUAAUCCCACAUGUCAUGGG